AACCGUCUGAGGUAAGCGGGUGGACCCGUCCAGUCGGCCCUCGGAAUUCAGCUUUUGGGAAUGUCUGCUGGCGCAGUUCUGGGAUCCCUGGGACUCGCUCGGCGCCAGACCGGACUCCCGAGAGUGCACUUUCCGUGUUGGCAGAGCGUCACGACCGGUUUUGCGGCGGUGAGAAGGCCCUCGGGAAGGUAGGUCGCCGCCCUUCGGGGUUGCGACUGUUAUAGACCUUGGGAGAUGGCUGCUGCGAGACCGUGGAUCGACCCGUCGUAUGGCAGUGGGGCUUCCCGCGUGCGUUCGACUCGGAAGGACAGGCUUGCCGUGCUUCCGGACUGCGCUGCGAGGGAGGACUCUGCUAUAGCCCGCGAUGUGUUAGGGUCAGUGACACACGAUCGGUAAUCCACCCGGCCCGUCUUGAAACACGGACCAAGAAGUCCAACAUGUGCGCGAGUCAUUGGGUCCUACGAAACCUAAAGGCGUAAUGAAGGUGAAGGCAGGUUCGGCUUGCUGAGGUGAGAUCCUCGUCCUCGGGCGGGGCGCAUCACCGGCCCGUCUGCAAAGGCGGAGCAAGAGCGCACACGUUGGGACCCGAAAGAUGGUGAACUAUGCCUGAGCAGGAUGAAGCCAGAGGAAACUCUGGUGGAAGUCCGUAGCGAUUCUGACGUGCAAAUCGAUCGUCGAACUUGGGUAUAGGGGCGAAAGACUAAUCGAACCAUCUAGUAGCUGGUUCCCUCCGAAGUUUCCCUCAGGAUAGCUGGCGCUCGUCUUAACAGUUUUAUCCGGUAAAGCGAAUGAUUAGAGGCCUUGGGGACGAAACGUCCUCAACCUAUUCUCAAACUUUAAAUGGGUAAGGAGUCGGACUCGCUCGAUCUGGAGUCCGGACUGGAAUGUGAGUGCCAAGUGGGCCACUUUUGGUAAGCAGAACUGGCGCUGUGGGAUGAACCAAACGUCCGGUUAAGGUGCCUAACACUGACGCUCAUGAGAUACCAUAAA
rnacentral:rRNA from 1 species